AGUCUGUUUCAGGGCGAGGUGCAAGUCCUCACUGGCGGUAAAGUCCGCGACCCGGCGAAAGCCGGCUGAAUGGGUGAAAUUCCCAUACCAACGGUAAUAGUCCGGAUGAAAGAAACGGCAU
rnacentral:ncRNA from 2 species